CACGCUCCUCAAAAUUCUUCCCGCCUCACCACUGCCCAACUCCAAAGCCAUCUCCACAUUGUUAGGCAUUCCAGCAGCACCCCACUUCCUGGGCCAGGAUCUGUGUUGGUUUCCACUUGAUGUUGCUGUAACGUUGCCACACUUCCGUGGCUUAAAACAGCACAAGUUCCUCACCUUACAGUUCCGGGGGCCAGAAGUCUGAGAUCAUCUUAUGGGGCAAAAUCAAGGCUGUGGUCCUUCUGGUGUCUCUGCGGGGAGAAUCCGCUUCCUUGUCUCUUCUGGCUGCUGGAAGCUGCUCACGGUCCUUGGCCCAAGGCUCCUAGGCAGCCGUCUUGUCACUCAGCCUCCCUCUCCCCUCCCUCGCUCCUGCUGCCUAGUGUGGGCCCUUGUGAUGACAGUGGGCCCACCUGGGUGAUCCAGCAUCCUCUCUCCCGCUUAACUUAAUCUUAUCACAUCUGCAGAAUCCCUUUGCCAUGGGAGACCAUAUUUACAGGCUCUGCGGACUCGUAUGUGGAUAUCUUUGUGGGGGCCAUUAUUCUGUCUGCCACAGCCACAGCCACAGCCACCUAGGGGUGUGCUGGCUCCCGGGCCAUAAGCUGGGCAUCCCUGGGUGGGUGGGCCCAGGAAGGGCUGCCACUCCUGUCUGCCAGGUGGGGUGCUCCUUUGUGCCUUGCGUUCUGCCCACUGGCUUGCACCCCUGGCUUGCCCAGGCACCUGACCAAGUCCAGGCUAGGCAGACAUGAGAUUAAGGGAGCACAGAUUUCUGCGCCCAAGUCAGGCAUAUUGCACUCCAGUGCCCAGAAGGCAGCGGUCGGGGGCUUGGCCCUGGGGCUGCAGGAACUCUUCAGCCCUGGCUGUGUGGGGUCAACCCUAAGGUGUCUCUGGGACAGGCAGGUGGUCGCACUGUUAGGGCUUAGGGACUGGUUUGCUGCUAUAACAAAGGUCCAUAGACUGGGUGACUUAAACCACAUGUAUUUUCUCACAGCUCUGGAGGCUGGAAGUCCAUGAUCGAGGUGGCAGCAGGGCUGGUUUCUCCUGAGGCCUCUCUCAGCAUGUAGACCGUCUUCUCCGUGUCUUCACACGGUCAUCCAUCUGAGUGUGUGUGUGUCCUGAUGUCUUCUUAUUGGACACCAGUCAGAUUGGAUUAGCCCCCUGCCCCUCAGUGACAGUUACCUCUGCAAAGGCCCUGUCUCCAAAUAAGGUCACAUUCUCAGAUACCGGGGGAUAAGACUCCAGCAUGUGGAUUUGGAAGGACAUUAUUCAGCCCAUGGCAGGGGCCCAGUCUCAUCUUGGAUUUGGGGUGGGAGUGCUCAGCAGACACUGGGGUUUCAGAACUGCAGGGUUUCUGGUAACGUGGUGCUGGCACAGGGUUACAGGCAUGGGUCUGGCUCUGAAGUGUUUGCCUUUGGCAUCCCCCAAGUCCCUGAGGGGCUCUCUGAGGCCCGCUGUGACUGCACUGGGUGACCUGAGCCUGCCCCGUUGAAGCUGUGCUCAGGGAUUCUGAUGCCUGGCAUCCCUAGUCCCCCCCGAGUCAGCAUCAAAGGAGGGGACUCUCCCUGUGUCCUGAGUGCUGUGAGCUCUGGCCUAGUGGCCCGCAGAGCCAGGCAGUGGUGAAACGGCCCCCACUGCUCAUCAUGCAGCCCGGGGCCAGUGCUGACUUAGUGCCUCUUCCAGAGGGGACCUUUUCCCUGUCCUUGGGCCUGCUGUGUGGGGUGCAUGAGGCCUCAGGUGCCACUCACAGAUUCUGGCCUCCUCAGGACCCAGCCCCACUCCCGCAGGAGGUCUGCUGUGAUUCUCCAUGCCCCCUGACGCCCCAAAGCCUGGCCCUCCCGUGCUCCAGCUUCUGCCCCAGAGUUUGUCAGAGUUUCUGCCGGUGCUUCCCGUACCCCCACCACCAUUCACACGCCUCUGCCAGCCUGGCCUUUCCCUGUCCAUUUCCUCCUGGCCUUGCUGCCAGGUGGGCCUCCUGGGCCAUUUUGGCUCGGCCUUGCCCAUGAUCUGCGGGGCUUAGCUCCCACACUCUCCAGAUACAUAAACAAGCAUUCCCCACAGCAGGGUCCCAAGGACGGUGGCAGGAGGGCCCCAGGGAUGGGGCUGCACAUUGGGCAAAGGCCUGAGUAUGUCCGCACCUGCUGCAAGGAGCGGCUUUGCCUGCCCGGCUACUCCAGGCCCCUCCCCACAGAGAGGGAGCCCUGGGGAGCUGCCGAGAUGGGGUUUGCUGAGAGCUCCAUGCAGCCAGGUGCACCCUGUCCUUAGAGCCAUCCUGUUGGAGGGUGGGCAGGCUAAAUGGCCCAUGCGUGCAGGUAGAUGCCUAAGGACUGGCUAGUGUUAAGGGCCAGGAGGCUGGGAGCCUGUCUGGGCCCCGAGGCAUCAGUCUCAGCUAUGGCAGAGUAUGAGGUGGGCUUGGGGCCCUGAAUCACCUAGAGACUGGCUUGCUGAGUGAGAUGGCAGGCGUGAGGCCCAGGGAGACAAAGCUUUGGGUGGCUGCUGUCCACACAGGUGGGCUCCUUCCUUCUUCCCCCACUGGGCCCUCAGCUGCUCCUGCCUCCCAUUUCCAGUGCUGCCUGGUCCCCUGAGGCCUGUCCCAGGUUGUCCCUAGGACUGUGAGUCCUUCAGCACCUCCCACCCAGCCUCUGAGCCUGGCUGCUCAGCAGGAUUCCGCCGGGCAGCAGCAGCCAUGGCCCAGCUCCCCACAGCCUCCGUCUUUGGGGCACCAAGAGCCUCCUGUCCUGGACUUUGCCUGGCUGAGAAUUUCACUGUGGUCUGUGGUGGCCGCCACCUCUGAGGUCAUAAGUUUGAGCUGGGCAUCAGCAGGGGGCACCUCCUGCUCUCCCGAGCUGUAGUUUUCCUUCCGUGAGUUCCUGCAGUCCUGAGCAUGGCAGGGGGACCCUAGGAGCAGGCUGGGCACUGAGCCCUCCCCUCCUCCUGCCUUGCAGAGCUCAGGCCCCGGGGCCUCCAGCGGCACCAGCGGAGACCACAGUGAGCUCGUCGUCCGGAUUGCCAGUCUGGAAGUGGAGAACCAGAGUCUGCGUGGCGGUGAGACCCCGGGCCAGUGGGUUGGGGCUGUCCCUGGCCCCUGCCAUCUAACCGUGCUCCCCUUGCCCCCCCAGUGGUACAGGAGCUGCAGCAGGCCAUCUCCAAGCUGGAGGCCCGGCUGAACGUGCUGGAGAAGAGCUCGCCUGGCCACCGGGCCACGGCCCCACAGACUCAGCACGUAUCUCCCAUGCGCCAAGUGGAGCCCCCAGCCAAGAAGCCAGCCACACCAGCAGAGGAUGACGAGGAUGAUGACAUUGACCUGUUUGGCAGUGACAAUGAGGAGGAGGACAAGGAGGCGGCACAGCUGCGGGAGGAGCGGCUACGGCAGUACGCGGAGAAGAAGGCCAAGAAGCCUGCACUGGUGGCCAAGUCCUCCAUCCUGCUGGAUGUCAAGCCUUGGGAUGAUGAGACGGACAUGGCCCAGCUGGAGGCCUGUGUGCGCUCUAUCCAGCUGGACGGGCUGGUCUGGGGGGCUUCCAAGCUGGUGCCCGUGGGCUACGGUAUCCGGAAGCUACAGAUUCAGUGUGUGGUGGAGGAUGACAAGGUGGGGACGGACUUGCUGGAGGAGGAGAUCACCAAGUUUGAGGAGCACGUGCAGAGUGUCGAUAUCGCAGCGUUCAACAAGAUCUGAAGCCUGAGUGUGUGUACGUGCGCGCGUGCGUGAGGCCCUGCCACGAUUAAAGACUGAGACCGGC
rnacentral:sRNA from 1 species